GACGAACGCUGGCGGCGUGCUUAACACAUGCAAGUCGAACGAGCGGCGGACGGGUGAGUAAUGAUUGGGAAUCUAGCUGAUGGAGGGGGAUAACUACGGGAAACGGUAGCUAAUACCGCGUACCAUAGGAUGAGCCCAAGUGGGAUUAGUUAGUUGGUGGGGUAAAGGCUCACCAAGCCGACGAUCUCUAGCUGGUCUGAGAGGAUGACCAGCCACACUGGGACUGAGACACGGCCCAGACUCCUACGGGAGGCAGCAGUGGGGAAUAUUGCGCAAUGGGGGCAACCUGACGCAGCCAUGCCGCGUGAAUGAAGAAGGCCUUCGGGUUGUAAAGUACUUUCGGUAGCGAGGCGUUAACUACAGAAGAAGCACCGGCUAACUCCGUGCCAGCAGCCGCGGUAAUAC
rnacentral:rRNA from 1 species